GACGAACGCUGGCGGCGUGCUUAACACAUGCAAGUCGAACGGAAAGGCCCUGCUUUUGUGGGGUGCUCGAGUGGCGAACGGGUGAGUAACACGUGAGUAACCUGCCCUUGACUUUGGGAUAACUUCAGGAAACUGGGGCUAAUACCGGAUAGGAGCUCCUGCUGCAUGGUGGGGGUUGGAAAGUUUCGGCGGUUGGGGAUGGACUCGCGGCUUAUCAGCUUGUUGGUGGGGUAGUGGCUUACCACGGCUUUGACGGGUAGCCGGCCUGGGAGGGUGACCGGCCACCUUGGGACUGAGAUACGGCCCAGACUCCUACGGGAGGCAGCAGUGGGGAAUAUUGCACAAUGGGCGGAAGCCUGAUGCAGCAACGCCGCGUGCGGGAUGACGGCCUUCGGGUUGUAAACCGCUUUCGCCUGUGACGAAGCGUGAGUGACGGUAAUGGGUAAAGAAGCACCGGCUAACUACGUG
rnacentral:rRNA from 1 species